rnacentral:rRNA from 1 species
ACGGAGGGUGCAAGCGUUACUCGGAAUCACUGGGCGUAAGGAGCGUGUAGGCGGGUAGUUAAGUCAGAAGUGAAAUCCAAUAGCUCAACUAUUGAACUGCUUUUGAAACUGAUUACCUAGAAUAUGGGAGAGGUAGAUGGAAUUUCUGGUGUAGGGGUAAAAUCCGUAGAGAUCAGAAGGAAUACCGAUUGCGAAGGCGAUCUACUGGAACAUUAUUGACGCUGAGACGCGAAAGCGUGGGGAGCAAACAGG